rnacentral:rRNA from 1 species
UACACAUGCAAGUCGANCGGUAACAGGGGGUGCUUGCACCCCGCUGACGAGCGGCGGACGGGUGAGUAAUGCUUAGGAAUCUGCCCAGUAGUGGGGGACAACAGUCGGAAACGGCUGCUAAUACCGCAUACGCCCUACGGGGGAAAGCAGGGGAUNUUCGGACCUUGCGCUAUUGGAUGAGCCUAAGUCGGAUUAGCUAGUUGGUGGGGUAAAGGCCUACCAAGGCGACGAUCCGUAGCUGGUCUGAGAGGAUGAUCAGCCACACUGGGACUGAGACACGGCCCAGACUCCUACGGGAGGCAGCAGUGGGGAAUAUUGGACAAUGGGGGAAACCCUGAUCCAGCCAUGCCGCGUGUGUGAAGAAGGCUUUCGGGUUGUAAAGCACUUUCAGCGAGGAGGAAGGCCUUAAAGUUAAUACCUUUAAGGAUUGACGUUACUCGCAGAAGAAGCACCGGCUA